rnacentral:rRNA from 1 species
ACUCCUACGGGAGGCAGCAGUGGGGAAUAUUGCACAAUGGGGGAAACCCUGAUGCAGCGACGCCGCGUGAGCGAAGAAGGUUUUCGGAUCGUAAAGCUCUGUCCUUGGGGAAGAAAAUGACGGUACCCAAGGAGGAAGCCCCGGCUAACUACGUGCCAGCAGCCGCGGUAAUACGUAGGGGGCGAGCGUUGUCCGGAAUUACUGGGCGUAAAGGGUACGUAGGCGGUUAAUUAAGUCAGGUGUAAAAGGCGCAGGCUCAACCUGUGUAAGCAUCUGAAACUGGAUAACUUGAGUAUAGGAGAGGUAAGUGGAAUUCCUAGUGUAGCGGUGAAAUGCGUAGAUAUUAGGAGGAACACCAGUGGCGAAGGCGACUUACUGGACUAUUACUGACGCUGAGGUACGAAAGCGUGGGGAGCAAACAGGAUUAGAUACCCUGGUAGUC